GAAACAUAUGAUUUUAAAAAAAAGCUUCUAACUUAUUUUUUUAGCAGUGAAACUCUGUUAAUGUUUCU
rnacentral:tRNA from 1 species